GAUUAGCUUGUUGGUGAGGUAACGGCUCACCAAGGCGACGAUCCCUAGCUGGUCUGAGAGGAUGACCAGCCACACUGGAACUGAGACACGGUCCAGACUCCUACGGGAGGCAGCAGUGGGGAAUAUUGCACAAUGGGCGCAAGCCUGAUGCAGCCAUGCCGCGUGUAUGAAGAAGGCCUUCGGGUUGUAAAGUACUUUCAGCGGGGAGGAAGGUGUUGUGGUUAAUAACCGCAGCAAUUGACGUUACCCGCAGAAGAAGCACCGGCUAACUCCGUGCCAGCAGCCGCGGUAAUACGGAGGGUGCAAGCGUUAAUCGGAAUUACUGGGCGUAAAGCGCACGCAGGCGGUCUGUCAAGUCGGAUGUGAAAUCCCCGGGCUCAACCUGGGAACUGCAUUCGAAACUGGCAGGCUUGAGUCUUGUAGAGGGGGGUAGAAUUCCAGGUGUAGCGGUGAAAUGCGUAGAGAUCUGGAGGAAUACCGGUGGCGAAGGCGGCCCCCUGGACAAAGACUGACGCUCAGGUGCGAAAGCGUGGGGAGCAAACAGGAUUAGAUACCCUGGUAGUCCACGCCGUAAACGAUGUCUACUUGGAGGUUGUGCCCUUGAGGCGUGGCUUCCGGAGCUAACGCGUUAAGUAGACCGCCUGGGGAGUACGGCCGCAAGGUUAAAACUCAAAUGAAUUGACGGGGGCCCGCACAAGCGGUGGAGCAUGUGGUUUAAUUCGAUGCAACGCGAAGAACCUUACCUGGUCUUGACAUCCACGGAAGUUUUCAGAGAUGAGAAUGUGCCUUCGGGAACCGUGAGACAGGUGCUGCAUGGCUGUCGUCAGCUCGUGUUGUGAAAUGUUGGGUUAAGUCCCGCAACGAGCGCAACCCUUAUCCUUUGUUGCCAGCGAUUAGGUCGGGAACUCAAAGGAGACUGCCAGUGAUAAA
rnacentral:rRNA from 1 species